CAGAGAUAACUCUAAGUUAAUUCAGCUUAUAAGACACAUUUACAAUUAUAAUGCAGUUAUCCAAAAAUUAACUAUAUUUAUGUUAAAACAUCUUUUUCUCCCAUACAGAAAAGUCGUUAUUGAAGAAUUAUGCUACUAUUCCUUGCUGAGAUGGAUGAGGGAAGGAAAAACAUAAUCUUAUUAACUUUUAAAAUUAUAUUUCAUUUAUAAGAUUUUGUAGGAGAGCAGUUGUCAUCUAUGGAAAAUUACCAACAAUAUUAACAAUGCCAGCUUUGGCAAUGAAACAACUCAGUGACAACCUGAGAAACACAGAAAUCAGACCUGUGAGAUUUGUGGAAUCUAAUAUAGUUUCACUGCAGGAGAUUUCAACGUGUAAAUCCUAAAUGCAAGAAAAAGGGCCCUAAAGGUUAACAUUUACAUACUUUUUUUUAAUUUUAAAAAUUCCAGGUUCCCAUCAAAAUUUAUAAAUUCCUGGGCAGCACCAUAGUGUACACAUGGGGACAAAUAAAGUAAAGCCAAAAGAGCAAAAUAAACAUGAAAUAUGUACAACUUGUGCAAUUAUG
rnacentral:lncRNA from 1 species